rnacentral:rRNA from 1 species
GACGAACGCUGGCGGCGUGCUUAACACAUGCAAGUCGAGCGGUAAGGCCCUUUCGGGGGUACACGAGCGGCGAACGGGUGAGUAACACGUGGGUGACCUGCCCUCAGCUCUGGGAUAAGCCUGGGAAACCCGGGUCUAAUACGUGGAUAUGACUCCAUGACGCAUGUUGUGGGGUGGAAAGCCUUGUGCGGCUGAGGAUGGGCCCGCGGCCUAUCA